GCCGCUAUGGUGAAAUUGGUGGACACGCUGCUCUUAGGAAGCAGGGCUAGAGCAUCUUGGUUUGAGUCCGAGUGGCGGCA
rnacentral:tRNA from 1 species